CAAAAUAAAGUUUAACUCAUCAUAGAAUCAAAAUCUAUAAUCCACAAUUGACUAUACAUUGAGAAAUAAAGAUAGAAGUAAAGAGAAGUUAGGGAAUUUAGGAAUGCAAAUUUGAGAUUCUCCUCUUGCUCCGAUUCUGAAUUUCCUAUGCUCUUCAAUUGCUUCAAUCUUCAACUCUAAUAUAAUCUAGGGUUCUAAUCUCAUCUAAAAAGAAAAAGAAGAAAAGAAAACAAUAGUAGCUUUAGCCCCCAAGGGGUGGAAUAUCUCUUACAUCAUGAAAAUACGUCUAAUUUAUAAGCCCUCAUUGAAUCCCCCUCUCCGUUAUGCUUCAAUUGCACUGUUUAAUGAAAAGUCAGCUUUGG
rnacentral:lncRNA from 1 species